rnacentral:rRNA from 1 species
GACGAACGCUGGCGGCGUGCUUAACACAUGCAAGUCGAACGGAAAGGCCCUGCUUUUGUGGGGUGCUCGAGUGGCGAACGGGUGAGUAACACGUGAGUAACCUGCCCUUGACUUUGGGAUAACUUCAGGAAACUGGGGCUAAUACCGGAUAGGAGCUCCUGCUGCAUGGUGGGGGUUGGAAAGUUUCGGCGGUUGGGGAUGGACUCGCGGCUUAUCAGCUUGUUGGUGGGGUAGUGGCUUACCAAGGCUUUGACGGGUAGCCGGCCUGAGAGGGUGACCGGCACAAUUGGGAAGGAGAGACGGCCCAGACGCCUCGGGGAGGCAGAGGGGGGGAAUAUUGCACAAGGGGCGGAGGCCUGAAGCAGCACCGCCGGGUGCGGGAUGCCGGCCUUCGGGUUGUAAACCGCUUUCGCCUGUGACGAAGGGGGAGUGAGGGUAAUGGGUAAAGAAGCACCGGCUAACUACGGG